UGCGCAGGCGGUUGUGCGAGACAGAUGUGAAAUCCCCGGGCUUAACCUGGGAAUGGCAUUUGUGACUGCACGGCUAGAGUGUGUCAGAGGGGGGUAGAAUUCCACGUGUAGCAGUGAAAUGCGUAGAUAUGUGGAGGAAUACCGAUGGCGAAGGCAGCCCCCUGGGAUAACACUGACGCUCACGCACGAAAGCGUGGGGAGCAAACAGGAUUAGAUACCCUGGUAGUCCACGCCCUAAACGAUGUCAACUAGUUGUCGGGUCUUAAUUGACUUGGUAACGCAGCUAACGCGUGAAGUUGACCGCCUGGGGAGUACGGUCGCAAGAUUAAAA
rnacentral:rRNA from 1 species